rnacentral:rRNA from 1 species
GUCUACGGCCAUACCACCCUGAGAACGUCCGAUCUCGUCUGAUCUCGGAAGCUAAGCAGGGUCGGGCCUGGUUAGUACUCGGAUGGGAGACCGCCUGGGAAUACCAGGUGCUGUAAACU